UAGAGUGUAUUGUUGGUUUUCUGUAUGGGAACCUAAUCGAAGGGUAUUAUUUUGAUCGAUCAGAAUCCCUUUUUGUCUUGUUGCAUUUUGUGUCGCAUGAUGAACGUUGAAGCGGUCUCUAUGAUCCAUCACGUUGAUGCACUUGCAUUGAUGUUGUGGCCCAUUGAGCUUUGUUUGGUUUCUUGGAUAUGGAACAUGAAGUGGGCAUGGGGCUGUCAUGAUCCUCUUUUUGCCCUCGUAUGGUGUUCUCCAACGACGGGUCAUGCGCGCC
rnacentral:misc_RNA from 1 species